rnacentral:rRNA from 1 species
UUGGAGGGCAAGUCUGGUGCCAGCAGCCGCGGUAAUUCCAGCUCCAAUAGCGUAUAUUAAAGUUGUUGCAGUUAAAAAGCUCGUAGUUGAAUUUCGGGGUUCUACCGUUGGUCGGGCUUUGUCUGUACUGGUGUGUAGAAUUUCUACCUUCUGGGGAACCAUCAUGCUAUUAAUUUAGCGUGGUGGGAAACCAGGACCUUUACCUUGAAAAAAUUAGUGUGUUCAAAGCAGGCUUAUGUCUGAAUACAUUAGCGUGGAAUAAUAGAAUAGGACGGUGGUCCUGUUUUGUUGGUUUCUGAAUCACCGUAAUGAUUAAUAGGGAUAGUUGGGGGCAUCAGUAUUCAAUUGUCAGAGGUGAAAUUCUUGGAUUUAUUGAAGACUAACUUCUGCGAAAGCAUUUGCCAAGGAUGUUUUCAUUAAUCAAGAACGAAAGUUAGGGGAUCGAAGACGAUCAGAUACCGUCGUAGUCUUAACCAUAAACUAUGCCGACUAGGGAUCGGACGAUGUUAAUUUUUCUUGACUCGUUCGGCGCCUUACGGGAAAC